UGUGUGUGUGUUUGUGUGUGUUGUACGUGAGUGUGUGCGCACAGGUGUGUGUGUGUGUGUUUGUGUGUGUUGUACGUGAGUGUGUGCGCACAGGUGUGUGUGUGUGUGUUUGUGUGUGUUGUACGUGAGUGUGUGCGCACAGGUGUGUGUGUGUGUGUUUGUGUGUGUUGUACGUGAGUGUGUGCGCACGUGUGUGUGUGUGUGUGUGUGUGUACGGCUUGAUGAUCUUUCCACUGGACCAUUAGGGCAACGAGAUAAGGAAAGACAAUGCCUGCUAACACACAGGAGACGGAGGUGAGAGAGAGAGGGAGAGAC
ensembl:lncRNA